UACGUAGGGUGCGAGCGUUAAUCGGAAUUACUGGGCGUAAAGCGUGCGCAGGCGGUUUUGUAAGCCAGAUGUGAAAUCCCCGGGCUCAACCUGGGAAUGGCAUUUGGGACUGCAAGGCUUGAGUGCGGCAGAGGAGACUGGAAUUCCUGGUGUAGCAGUGAAUGCGUAGAUAUCAGGAGGAAUACCGAUGGCGAAGGCAGGUCUCUGGGCUGACACUGACGCUCAUGCACGAAAGCGUGGGGAGCAAACAGG
rnacentral:rRNA from 1 species